rnacentral:rRNA from 1 species
AGUGAACGCUGGCGGUAGGCCUAACACAUGCAAGUCGAACGGCAGCACAGUAAGAGCUUGCUCUUACGGGUGGCGAGUGGCGGACGGGUGAGGAAUACAUCGGAAUCUACUUUUUCGUGGGGGAUAACGUAGGGAAACUUACGCUAAUACCGCAUACGACCUACGGGUGAAAGCAGGGGAUCUUCGGACCUUGCGCGAUUGAAUGAGCCGAUGUCGGAUUAGCUAGUUGGCGGGGUAAAGGCCCACCAAGUCGACGAUCCGUAGCUGGUCUGAGAGGAUGAUCAGCCACACUGGAACUGAGACACGGUCCAGACUCCUACGGGAGGCAGCAGUGGGGAAUAUUGGACAAUGGGCGCAAGCCUGAUCCAGCCAUACCGCGUGGGUGAAGAAGGCCUUCGGGUUGUAAAGCCCUUUUUUUGGGAAAGAAAAGCAGCAGGUUAAUACCCCGCUGUUCUGACGGUACCCAAAGAAUAAGCACCGGCUAACUUCGUG